rnacentral:misc_RNA from 1 species
GAUGAAGAACGCAGCGAAAUGCGAUAAGUAAUGUGAAUUGCAGAAUUCAGUGAAUCAUCGAGUCUUUGAACGCACAUUGCGCCCCCUGGUAUUCCGGGGGGCAUGCCUGUCCGAGCGUCAUUGCUGCCCUCAAGCACGGCUUGUGUGUUGGGCCGUUGUCCCCCUCCUAGGGGACGGGCCCGAAAGGCAGCGGCGGCACCGCGUCCGGUCCUCGAGCGUAUGGGGCUUCGUCACCCGCUCCGUAGGCCCGGCCGGCGCUUGCCGACGACCAUCAAUCUCUUUCUCCAGGUUGACCUCGGAUCAGGUAGGGAUACCCGCUGAACUUAAGCAUAUCAAUAAGCGGAGGA